rnacentral:misc_RNA from 1 species
CUUUUUUGUUGGAUUUGUAUAAUUAGAGUCACAUGACUGGGAAAAAACGUAGAAAAGGACGUCGAUGCUUUAUUUUUCCUUUUUCAUUCUUUUAAGUUUUCUGCUUUGUACCUGCUGAUUCCUUGCUUCAUUUAUUGUUUGUAAGUGAUUUGUGGGACAUGAUAUCAUGACUUAAUUGCUGGGGAUAAAAACAUGCCUUUGGGUUUGUGCUAAGGAUUAAUUAUAGAAUCAGUUACCUGUUCAAGUAUAUAAACAUUAAGCCAUUAGAAGCUUUGGUUUGCUUUUGUUUCUAGGCAAUAGGCGUAUGGCUAGGUAAGCUUUGGUCUGCCUUUUCAGGAGUUGUUCAGGUUUCUAUCUUCUAUGAGUUAAUGAAUUUUUAGAAAGAAAAACAAUUGCAUGACCUGCUGUUUAGGUGAAUGAAAAUUUGAGGAAGGACUCAAAUAUCUCCAGGAUUUUAUGAAGCAAUUUUCAAAUUUGAAUGAAGAUGUUUCUUUAUUUGUGGUGUUAAUAGGGAGAAACAAUAAUCUUCACACAUCAUUUGGUUUUCAGAAUAGAAUAUAACGGGAAUGGAAUAGCUAUUCCAUAACCAUGAAAUAGCUACGAAAUUCUAUGCCAUAUGGUUGGAUAUUUUCUAUUUUAUAUAAUAAUUAUUGCACAUGUAAAAUUUUAAUCAAAAGUAUAUUGUGGAAUAAUUAUUUUACAUUUGAAAUUUGAAACAAAUAGUUAUAUUUUCAUCCUAUUCCAUGGAUCAAACGAAGCCUUAUAGAACUAGCAAUUCUGGAAACUUGUGGGAAUGAGCUAAUGAUCAUCCCUUAGCAUAUAAGACAAACUAAUGGGAUUCUAUCUUCUGUCUUCAUUAUUCUUCUCUUUGGGCAUGUUUUGUUCACCUUAAAAAUUGAAUGGAAGUAGGAAUGGAUGUUUAGAUCUAAGAAUUCUAUUCUAAUUUAUUUUUGCAAUAAUUAAUAGAAUUGAAUGCUGAUUUUUAAAUUUAUAUUUAGAAGCAUAUGGCAUUUCCGUUUAAAUUCAAUUUAUUUAAUUUUUUUUUUAAUUACACAUGUGGGGGAGAGGGUAGUCAAACUUAGAUCUCCCAAGUUUAACAUGUAUGCAGCUAUGCCCACUGUUGCAAGUUAUUUAAAUGUUAAAAAAUAUUAAAACAUAAGAGUGUUAAUGCCCAAUUUCCAAAGCAGAUUGAUUGGAAAUUUUUAAAGGAAACCGGAGGCGUCAGGAUUUGUCUGAAAGUGAUUGUGUCAUGUAGCAGGAUUCUCAAUCAUAGAAAAGAUUAGAAAUUAGAGAGGAAAUAGAGAAAGAAAGGGAAGAAAUUUAGGGGGAAGAAGAGAGAAAGAGAGAAGAUAAAAAAGAAACUUGAUUCUUGCUAGGUGCAACUCAGAUGAACCAUUUUUCAGCUUAAGCCCUCUCAGAACCAAGUUCUGAUACCAAUUUGUGUGUAUCAGAUUUGCACUUAAUCCAAAAACAGAGAAAGGAAGCUAGAAAGGGACUUGA